AGCGAACGCUGGCGGCAGGCUUAACACAUGCAAGUCGAGCGGGCAUCCUUGUGGUGUCAGCGGCAGACGGGUGAGUAACACGUGGGAACGUGCCCUUCGGUUCGGAAUAACUCAGGGAAACUUGAGCUAAUACCGGAUACGUGCGAGAGCAGAAAGGUUUAUCUGCCGAAGGAUCGGCCCGCGUCUGAUUAGCUAGUUGGUGAGGUUAUGGCUCACCAAGGCGACGAUCAGUAGCUGGUCUGAGAGGAUGAUCAGCCACACUGGGACUGAGACACGGCCCAGACUCCUACGGGAGGCAGCAGUGGGGAAUAUUGGACAAUGGGGGCAACCCUGAUCCAGCCAUGCCGCGUGAGUGAUGACGGCCUUAGGGUUGUAAAGCUCUUUUCUCCGGGACGAUAAUGACGGUACCGGAGGAAUAAGCCCCGGCUAACUUCGUG
rnacentral:rRNA from 1 species